AUCAUUUUCGCAACGGCGCAAGAGUGAUGAAUGAAGAUUAUGCGUAAUUCUGGCGAACAGAGAAAGCUUAAUUAUCAAGCAGAAGAGUUGAACCUGUUUUACAUAGAAAGUUCCUAUAGUUAGUAGGAGUCACAUGGUGCCAGUAGUCACCUGAAGCUUUGAAUCAUGACGAUAGAAGUGCCUUUCAUCAGCAGUUUUGAAGACGAUGCUUAAAAAUGUCAGUUGCUGACGGCAAUAUAUAUGACUUUAGAAAUAAAUUAUUUCACAAACAAUAGGGUUUUAAUCAAAUAUUUUUUUAUUCUGCUUAUGAGUUAUGCAAUUCAUCCACACAAGCAUUUUACAACAGCAAGAAACAUUUUAUCAGUUACUUUACCCGAUACAGACACUUAAAAAUCGCCUUGUUUCAGCUCAUCUUCAAGUAUAUAAUAAAGAAAAUUUCAGUUACGUAAGCUUUAUUUACUAUCGAGGAGUAAAAAAAAAUAAUUAAAUGCUCAGUUAGCUGUCACUAAACAUUGAGCAUAACAACAGACUUGGCUAGAAGGAUUGCUAUAAAUUGAAAUGACUGAAAAAUAUUUCUU